GACCUCAGAUCAGGCAAGACUACCCGCUGAAUUUAAGCAUAUCAAUAAGCGGAGGAAAAGAAACUAACAAGGAUUCCCCCAGUAACGGCGAGUGAAGCGGGAAAG
rnacentral:rRNA from 1 species